rnacentral:misc_RNA from 1 species
UCGGUCUUGUAAAACGUGUAAUAGCGCACUGCGCAUCCGACGUACACACGCACGCGCAGGUCGGGCUUCUCCCCCCUCCCCGCCCUCUGCCCCCUCUUCCCGUCACAGCCGAAUAACGUUCGCCACAGCAGCGGAAACGAAACUAAUAAAGCAAAGACAAGCAUAAUGGCGCUCGUGGAGCCGCUGGUUGGGCAUCUCUUGUCCAAGUACAAAGAAACGGUCUUGGAGGGGCUCUCGAAGAUUCGCCACACCCUGCAGGUCGGCGAUGAGCAGGCGAAUGAGCUGGCUGUAGCCGUGUCUCAGCGAGAGGAGGCGCUGCAAGCGCUGCGAGCAACCCUCCUCCGCCACGAGUACUUCGUGCCCACGCUGCAGACGCUGACGGUUGUGCUGACGCAGUUGGUCGAACGGGGCAACCGCGUCGCCCUCGCGCGCGAGGUGCUGCGCGGCGAUUGCGCCGCACUAUUCCGCAAAACACUCGCCACGCUUUCCGAUGCCACCCUCACCCAUGUAACCGCCGCACUACAGUUUCUGACGGUGGCCGUGAAGGACGCACCGCUGCUCGUGCUUGCGCGCCUGCGUACCCCUGCCGAUGCACACGCUGCACCUGCAGCCGCCUCCACUGCCUCGAUGAGCCCGCUCGCAGCGGUUGCCACGCAGCGGCGCGCCGAUGUCCCGUUGCACCUCGCCGUCUUUCGCCUACAGCUGACGUACAAUCAACGCCGCAUUCGCCUCACGCGGCUCGGCUUCCUGGUGCAGCUUGUCACGUCACCGAUGCACAACGCCGUCGUCGACACGAUCUGCAGCCACGGCGUCCUGACGCACCUCCUCGAGGACGCGGCCGAGCUCUUGCGCGAGGGCACGAGUGCGGGUAUGGCGUGUGCUCUCAGCGCUCUGCGAGUUGUUCGCGAGCUCUUCGUGCAAAGCCGCCACAUCACAGCGGAGCAGAAGCGCCGCGUCUUGCUGGCGCAGCGCAACGUCUUCCGGUUGCUCGUGCGUGCGCUGGAGUUCGACCAUGUGGCCGACAACGCCGCAGCCAUUCUGUAUGCCAUUGUCGACGAGACCAUUGAAUCACCAGCCGACUACGCCAGCACGCGAGUCGAGUCCCUCGAGGAUCAGGGCAUGCCCAACUACCUCCUCUUCUUCCUGCUGCGCCAGCUGCGGCCCAAGGCGAGCGAGCGCAUGUCGCAGCUUGUGCUGCACAUUCUCCAACGCGCCCCAGACCUCAUUCGGCCUUAUUUCAUUCGGGUCUCCGGCCACCUCGCGGAGGAAGGCAGCUCGCACGGCGUAGCGCCGGCAACGGCGCGGGUGGCGGUUCUCAAUCUGAUGACGCGCACGUUUCUGUGCCCGAUGCCGUACCACCUCGCCGCACAGCAAGUGCGGCUGGAGCCGGUCGUGGCCAAGACGUCCACCUUCUACACCAUGUGCCCUCGUGACGUGGCGGACGAGAUCUGCCCUGCUUGGGUCGCUGAGUACGUGCAUCGCCUUAUCAAUGGCUCCACGAAUCUGCUCAUGCUCGCGCUGGCAAUGCAGCUGACGCAGGCUGCGUUGAUGCGAGCGAAGCGCGUGCUGCCCCUCGUGCUCGCCGUCCAGAACGCCGCGAAGAGAAACAAGAGGGCGAGCACUGCCGGGGACGUAGCUGCUAGCGGUAGCGCCGCAGAGAUGGUCGUCUCGCUGCCCAGCCCGUGCGACUUCACCGAGGCGGAUCUUGACGUUCUGCAGGGCAACGACACCGCCGAGGCGGAGGUGUGGGACACGUACAACGCCCAGGUACGCCACCACCUGCAAGCGGCGCUGCCAAGUCGUGAAGAGUUUUGGCACCGCAUGACACAGCAACUCCACCGUACCCUAGCCGCCUCUGCUGCCGCCCCCACGUCGUCAACCACAUCGCCGUCAUCCGCUGCCACCGACGCGGUCCUCGAGAAGACGCAUUUAGUGGUGCAGCGCAUGCUGCUGCUCAUGAAGAACUACGUUGAAGUCUUUGACGUGCGGGUGCCGUGGCUGAGCGCUGUGCCGCUUUUUCUGCCUGACCUUGCCGGUAGUACCGUCAGCAGCAGCAGUGUUACCCGUGGCCCCAUGACUGCCAACGGAUCCAACGGACACGCUACGGCGGCCGCUGCGCCUGUGCACCCCAUCACGGCUGCCCUGCAGAAGCAGAACGACAUACUCAAGCCGUGGCCAGCAGCGAGUGUGGCGCUCUUGUGUGAGCUUCUCGCCGUCAGCCAGCAGCGCAGGGUGCCCAUGAUGAAGAUGCACCACAUCAAUAUGUCUCAGGCGGUCGGCAUUGGCGAGUGGCCGCUGCUGCUCAGCAUACUCCUCUGGGUGACACACCAUCGGCCGCACAGCCCACCGCGGCAGGAGAGCAUGGAAGCUGUGCAGGAGGCGCGGGCGAUGGGAUGGGCAGCCCAGCUGCUGCUGUGGACCGUGCACAGCGUCACCAUCCACUCUACCUGUACAAUGGCCGAGGCCCAUCUGUGGCUCUCCUGCCUGACACCCAACACAGUGCCAGUCUUCCUGCACGUCCUCAACCAUCUCUUGAUGCGCAGCCUGUCGAAGGUGGCCGAUCGCGUGUCGCACGAGUUGCGAGACGCACAGCACGGCGUUUUGGCGACCGCCGCCCUGCACUUUAUUGAUCGCACGAAGGAGAAGCAACAACAGAAGUGCAGCACCGGUGGCGGCGAGGACGAGGGCGACGGCGAGCAGCAUGAUCACCAGCAGUUGCAGAGAAAGCAGAAAACGCCGAGGGUGGAGUGCGCGAAUAACAACGGCGGCGGCAGCAGCAGCACCAGCAGUGCUAACAUGUGGGGUACCCAUCUGCAGGCCUCCCUCGCCGAAUUCGAGAGCGUCGUGGCUCGCGUCGUGCAUCUGUGGGGAAGGCGCGCGCGCCUCUUGGCACAGGCCGCAGUUGCCACGACGGCGGAGCUGGAUGUGCCGCGGGUGACGCAGCAGGAGUUCAUCGAAGUGCUGAUACUUGCUGACCGGCAGCGGGGUUUCGCAAAGGCGCCACGCCACUACAGGUCGACGUCACAGUCAGUGCACCUUCGCACCUUCGCGUUUACCCUGCACAGCCCUGCUCUGCCGCUUCCGGAAGAAGAUGCAGCGGUAGCCUUGCUGAGUCGGCUGAGCAUAGCCGUGUCCUCGGCAUCGCCAUUGGAUGGGGAAGAGCAAGGCGGAGCCGCGAAACAAGCGCCAAUGAGCACCAGCCUUGUCGAGGAUGUCUGCACAGCACUCGGCAUCGAGGGCUCUCUCGCUGCCAAGAGCAAGGCUGCAAAGGUUUCAACGCCGCCGUGGUUUGUUAUGGGCUCGGUCUGCUGGCAGGUUGCAGGGGUGCUCUUGUCUCUCACCCAUAGCACUGCCUCUGCACCGUCGUCCUGCAGCGGUAGCACGACAGAGGCUGCGCACAAACUCGCCUUGAGACUUGCACGAGCGCUCCUGUCCGACGAAGCGGCUCUGACGGCUCACUUGAGAGCCAACGUCGAUCACGAAGGGUCGCUCACUGGCCUCCUAGUCUUGAUGCUUGCCUGUACUCGCACGCUGUUGCAGCUCAUCUCACUAUGCAGGGCCGAGCAGCAGCAUCUCUGCCUCUCCGUUGACGAGUGCGCGGCGAUGGGCCGCGUGUGCCUUGACGUGUACAGCGGCACUCUCGGCGUGCAAGACCGGCUUAUCUACGCCGUUUGCCUCACCCUCCACUACCUGAGCGCUGCCCGCCACGUCGCGCACCCUGCGGCUGCUAUCGCUGCCACCAUGGAGGAGCGCGGCGACGAGGCUGCAGCAGAGCAACAAGGGAAAAGGCAGCGCUCAGUGGUUGCCAAGUAUCUCUCGUCUGACUGCCACGAAGGUGCCGAGGUGCCGGAUGCGCUCGUGCAGCGCCGCUUCCUGCUGUGCGGCCACACAGCGAGCGCUACACGCACGCCGGAGGUGGAGAUGCUCUCUUGGCACCUCGACACGCUGACCGAAGAGGAAAUGACUUGUAUGGCGCUGCACGCCUCAUCGCGGCUGCACAACUCCAUUCACUUACAAGACGGCAGCAGUGCCGAUGGCGCAACCGACCUGCUCGGUGCCGUGUUUCCGGAGCUGCGCUCCGCCGGCGAUGCACACGUAGCCGACCUCGAGCGGCUGUCACUGGGAAAUGUGUUGGACCUGCGCUACAUGGUGCCUCUCCUGCACCGGGUAGCCUCCAUACCAGCGGCUUUUUCGGCCCACCUGCCAACGGGACGAGUGAUACCAUUGCUGCUGAAGGCGCUCACAUCGAUCGACUCGCAGCUGCGCUCCGCCGCGGCCGCAGCGCUGAGCGCGCUGUACAUACCGAAGGGAGCGCUGCGAGUCGUGGUGAGCGUCGCGCGUAUAAAGCUGGCCCACACGCAGAUGCCCCCCUCCACCGGCGGCGCAGGGAGACGGUCGCAGCAACCUACGCAGCCACGUCGCGCCUCGUCACCUGCUGCGGUGCCGCGUCUUCCCACGCCACUGGCCAUCAUGCUAAUCAUGUCGAUUCGGCCGCUUGGUCGCUACGACGACGUCCUGCACCACCACCUCGUGCACUUCUUGAUGCACCUCGAAUCGGUCCUCGGCACCCCGAUGCCCUUCACCCACUGGGCCAUCACCCCUCCGCUGGCCGCUAUCAGCGUCCCGCUCAUGCUGGAGCGCCAAGAGGCCCUGCAGCUGCGUACCAACAAGCUCGGCGGUGGCGGCAAGAGCAGCGGAGGUGUCACGCAGGCAUCUGCAGCCGAUGUGGCAUACGAGCUGCGCAAGGAAAUUCCACCGCAGCUCGCCUUUCUUCUGCAGCUGCUCCGGCAUGCCUGCGAGGUGCCGCAGGACGGUGUCGCGUUGAUAGAGUCGAAUGGGCUAGAUGGGCUGCUGCUGCUAUGCGAUAUGCUGACAGCCUCCGAUGGGCAGAGGGCGUCGUAUGUUCAGUGCCUCCUCGUCCUCUGCACGCAGUCCGCUGCCCUGACGCGUUUGUUUGCGCGUGCCGGGCAUGUGCUGGCCUGGACGGUGUCCUUCCUGUGGCAGCUGUGCCGCGAAUACGGCAAGGCGACCCCGUAUCCGUACAGUGGUCAAACCUUCACGACCGCGCUGGAGCUGCUGCGCAUCAUGUGUGCCGCCACUGUGCCGUCGAAGACGUCGCUCGCAGAAGCACCUGCCCUCAGUGACGCGGCAGCAGAGCAGCUAAAGGAGAGCAUGCGACAGCUGCGCGCGUGGGUGGUCGAUGCGCACGUGACGGCUCGCGACGUCCUUGACGUCUUUGAUCACAUGAUUGGCCGCUGCAGCCACGCCGCCCACGGCCAGCACAGCGGCGCCGCGGAGGCAGACGACACACACAGCACUGAAGGGGUUGGCAAGGCUCAAGAAGCACGUGCGGUAUCACCGGCGUCGGCCUCACAGCCGUCGUCGCCGUCGUCCUCGGCAAAGCGCCGUCGCGCAACGGCAUCGCGAUGCGAAAGGCACACGCCCCCGAAGCGGAUGCGCACCGAGGGUACCGCCGAAGUCGGGGGCGUGUGAUGAGGGGUCGCUGCAUCACUGUGUCGCCCAUAACUCACACAGGCACACGCACAGGAGUGGUGGGGGCUAUAUGCAUGCCAUUGUCAUCGCAACCACCGGCCACCCCUUUACGGCUUCCAUUCUUCCGAGCUUCAUGCCUGCCUUGCUGUCUUCAGCGACUGCGUGUGGGUGCACGUCUCCGUAGUGUGUUUGCCUGUGUUUUGCCGGCAUGGUUACGCGGAUGAGGUGGGACGGGCAAAGCAUAUAUGCAUAUAUAUAUAAUGGUUGAACGUUUAACGAGGAAGAUGACGAGGAAGCGUGUGUCCCGCGAGUGCGCCCGUGUGCGUGAGUGACCUCCUGUCGUUGUCGUCGUCUCUGUCCGUUGGAUACACGCACAAGGCAAAACAAAAGGGGAUACGUGUACGCAAUGGAAGCCGGAGAGGUAGAGAGCAAACGCCCCGUGCAUAUGAACGUGUGACAGGGGGAGGGGCCCGACGGUGUCGACCGAGGCACUUCAGAUGCGCAAGCAUUCCUAUCCUCCUCCCUCACCAGCAUACGUAGAGGAGCACGUCAUGUGUUUCGGUGUGUGAGUGAGUCGUGGCUGCGGUGCUUGUGCGCAUCAUGCUGGCGUGUCCGCCCCUUUCCAUGCCGUUGUGUGUGUGUGUGUGUGUGUGUGUGUGUGUGUGUGUGUGUGCGUGUGUAGAUGUCUGUCCAUAACCUCACCUCUUGCCUGGUCCCGCCCUCUUCUACGCCCUUUUACGUGCUUUCAUCAUCGUCGAUCACCACGUCCGAGCACGGCUCCCCGACGUGCAGAGCGACAUCGUCGGACUCGAAUCG